rnacentral:rRNA from 1 species
GGAAGGAUCAUUAUCGUACAAAAUGUGAGGGGCAUGUGAGGGCUGUCGCUGACUCAAAGUCGUGCACGCCCGAGUGUGUCCUCUCACAUAAUAAUCCAUCUCACCCUUUGUGCAUCGCCGCGUGAGCACCCUUUGGGAUCAUCUCGGAGGGGGCUCGCGUUUUCACACAAACCCCCCUUUUAAAAGUGUAGAAUGACCUCAUUUAUGCGCUAACACGCAAUCAAUACAACUUUCAACAACGGAUCUCUUGGCUCUCGCAUCGAUGAAGAACGCAGCGAAAUGCGAUACGUAAUGUGAAUUGCAGAAUUCAGUGAAUCAUCGAAUCUUUGAACGCACCUUGCGCCCCUUGGUAUUCCGAGGGGCACACCCGUUUGAGUGUCGUGAAAACCUCAACCUCCUUGGUUUCUUCUGGAGACCAAAGGCAGGCUUGGACUUUGGAGGCCUUUGCUGGAACCUCUCUCUUUUGAAGGCCAGCUCCUCUUAAACGAAUUAGCAGGGUCCUCUUUGCCGAUCCUCGACGUGUGAUAAGAUGUUUCCAUGUCUUGGUUUCUGGCUCUGUCACUUUUGGGACCCGCUUCUAACCGUCUUGACCUUGCAUCGAGACAAUGUUCGAGCAUGUCUCCCUUCUCGGGAAGCUCCCUCGACCCCACGAACCCUUGACCUCAAAUCGGGUGAG